CCUACGGGAGGCAGCAGUGAGGAAUCUUGGUCAAUGGGCGAGAGCCUGAACCAGCCAAGUAGCGUGAAGGAUGACUGCCCUAUGGGUUGUAAACUUCUUUUAUAAAGGAAUAAAUGGAGGCACGUGUGCCUUUUUGUAUGUACUUUAUGAAUAAGGAUCGGCUAACUCCGUGCCAGCAGCCGCGGUAAUACGGAGGAUGCGAGCGUUAUCCGGAUUUAUUGGGUUUAAAGGGAGCGUAGAUGGGUUGUUAAGUCAGUUGUGAAUGUUUGCGGCUCAACCGUAAAAUUGCAAUUGAUACUGGGAGUCUUGAGUACAGUUGAGGUAGGCGGAAUUCGUGGUGUAGCGGUGAAAUGCUUAGAUAUCACGAAGAACCCCGAUUGCGAAGGCAGCUUUCUAAACUGUCACUGACAUUGAUGUUCGAAAGUGUGGGUAUCAAACAGGAUUAGAUACCCGUGUAGUC
rnacentral:rRNA from 1 species